rnacentral:rRNA from 1 species
GACGAACGCUGGCGGCGUGCUUAACACAUGCAAGUCGAACGGAGAGGCCUGCUUUCCCUUGUGGAUUGCGGGUACUCGAGUGGCGAACGGGUGAGUAACACGUGAGUGAUCUGCCCCCAACUUGGGUAUAAGCCUGGGAAACUGGGUCUAAUUCCCGAUAGGACUGCAGGGUGGUGCCUGUGGUGGAAAACGAUGUUCUAGUGGUUGGGGAUGAGCUCGCGGCCUAUCAGCUUGUUGGUGGGGUAAUGGCCUACCAAGGCGGCGACGGGUAGCCGGCCUGGGGGGGUGGACGGCAACAGGGGGACGAGGAGACGGACCAGACUCCGACGGGAGGCAGCGGGGGGGAAUAUUACACAAGGGGCGGAAGCCUGAUGCAGCGACGCGGGGUGGGGGAUGACGGCCGUCGGGUUGUAAACUCCUUUCGGCCGCGAGGAAGCCACCUGGUUGGAAGGGUGGUGACGGUAGUGGUAGAAGAAGCACCGGCUAACUACGUG